GAGUGAAAUCUAGUCUUAUUAGGAAGUAGCUUGUUAGGUAGAUAUUUAUAAUCUGUGAAGCUUAGGAGGGAGACUGGGAUUAGAUACCCCAUUAUUCUUAAGUUUAAAUUAAGGCCUUGAGUAGUAUUAGUUAUGUGCUUAAAACUUAAAGGAUUUGGCGGUAUUUUACACCGAUUAGAGGAACCUGUCUCAUAAAUGAUAUGCCUCGUAGUAUCUCACCUUCCCUAGAGUUCAGUUUGUAUACCGCCAUUAUUAGAUAAUAUUAACAAGUUUUUGUUGUAAUAGGUAAUUUUAAUAUAUUAGGUCAAGGUGCAGCCUAUGGGAGGGCGAACGGUGGGUUACAGUAAUACAAAAUUAUUACGGAUGCUCCUUUUAACAGGGGGUUGAAGGUGGAUUUAAUAGUAAUUGAAUUUUAAUAAGUUACAAUGAAACUGGCGCUAAAAUGAGUA
rnacentral:rRNA from 1 species